rnacentral:tRNA from 1 species
GGGCCUGUAGUUCAGCCUGGUUAGAAUGCUCGACUGAUAAUCGAGUGGUCGACAGUUCAAAUCUGUCCAGGCCCA